rnacentral:tRNA from 1 species
GUCAGGAUGGCCGAGCUGUCCAAGGCGCUGCGUUCAGGUCGCAGUCCACUCUGUGGGCGUGGGUUCGAAUCCCACUCCUGACA